rnacentral:rRNA from 1 species
UACGUAGGGUGCGAGCGUUGUCCGGAAUUAUUGGGCGUAAAGGGCUCGUAGGCGGUUUGUCGCGUCGGGAGUGAAAUCCACUGGCUUAACUGGUGGCUUGCUUUCGAUACGGGCAGACUGGAGGUAUGCAGGGGAGAACGGAAUUCCUGGUGUAGCGGUGAAAUGCGCAGAUAUCAGGAGGAACACCUGUGGCGAAAGCGGCUCACUGGACCAUAACUGACGCUGAUGCACGAAAGCUAGGGGAGCAAACAGG